CAGACCCUGCGGACACACAGAGACGGCCGGUCAGGGCCAGGGGGGGUGGGCAGAGGGAGGAAGUGGCACUCCCUCAAACGGGACUUUCACUGCGGAUGCAGCAGCUCCCCGACCAUCAAAACAAUCCGGACACGCGGCCCAUAUCUGCGUGCCUGGCGGCUGGCAGCUCGUCUGGAAAAGGACUCCAGUGAGCGAAUGCCCAUCUGCUGUGGAGCCUGCGGGACCCCCAGACACUCACAGCAUCUCUCAACACCACAUCAGAAGUAUCAGCUUCCCUGCAGAGCUCUGCCCCUCCAUCUCCAAGCUGGCCAAGCUCUUCACUUCCUCCCAUGAUGGCAGUAAUCAGAGAUGCUGUUGCGACUGAUGGCUCCCAAACUUGCUGAAGCUUGCCAGAUCACCACGAGGCACAUCCUGGUGCAUCAUGCUGUCGAUGGCUGCCCUAUUAGCCACCAGAGGGGUGGGUGCACCAGGGUGGGGGUGGGACCCUUGUGGAAAUGAUCAGUUACCCUCACACUGAGUAUUAGGAACAUUACCUGAUUUUACCUGAAGGUCUAACACUUACCUUUUCACUGUGUGUGGUUUUCACUGAUUGCCAAAAUUACAGAGGUAGCCUUUAGUAACACUGUUUAUAAGCUGUAGCAUCUGUAGAAGGAAUUCAUUUUGUUGAGUCCAAAACACAGCUAGCAUAAUAAAGGCUUGUGGAAGUAAAAUUGGACAUCGGUAGGCCCGGGAGGGAGGCAUAUUGGGUCUGUUAUGUCUUAGGCAAGAAGAGAUUGUUUUGAAUGCUGUCUGGCCUCACUUCAUGAUAGCUGCCUGCGGUUAGUUCCACAGACCCUGAAGAAAGCUCGGACCUUGGAGAGACAGACAACGGAGCAAGGGGGGGGGGGGUGGCGGGGGACCACCUGCAGGAAGAGAUUCGAAGCUGACCCAACUGGUGCACGAGUUAUAGCUUGAUAAAAUAGUUGCAGCAGACAAUAUAUAGUAUGUUACAUGGGAAUGCAAAAGUAUAAGUAAUCAUACUAAUCAUAUGUUACCCAUGUAUUUGCAGUGAUUCAAUGACAAUACGUCAAUGUGUUAAUCAUUAAUCUAUGGAACACCCAAACAUUAAUAGUGAUUCAACGUCAUAUGAUCAAUAUCUAUAUACAUAUCUCAAGUAGAGUCUAGAAGCCGAGACAGAUUCCGGUAAACUGAGCUAGAUGGGGGGGUUUUAGCUUGCUACCAAGGUGAACCAACAGAGCAGGAGAAUUGUGUUUGUUAUACGUUUGAGCUCGGUUAGUUGGUGUUUCGUGACCAAUCAGGACUUAGACGUCCUUAUGGGGAAUUGGGAGUUAUGGUUUAUCAGCUGGUCGCUCUGUGAGCUCCGGGUGACUUGGUACUGAGUGCCAGAGUGUGAUGGGAGCGCUUUGCUGGAAUUCCCGGAAUAAAAGAGAUUUUCUUUACUCACCAAA